rnacentral:rRNA from 1 species
AUUGAACGCUGGCGGCAUGCCUUACACAUGCAAGUCGAACGGUAACAGGUCUUCGGAUGCUGACGAGUGGCGAACGGGUGAGUAAUACAUCGGAACGUGCCCGAUCGUGGGGGAUAACGGAGCGAAAGCCUUGCUAAUUCCGCAUACGAUCUACGGAUGAAAGCAGGGGACCGCAAGGCCUUGCGCGGACGGAGCGGCCGAUGGCAGAGUAGGUAGUUGGUGGGAUAAAGGCGUACCAAGCCGACGAUCUGUAGCUGGUCUGAGAGGACGACCAGCCACACUGGGACUGAGACACGGCCCAGACUCCUACGGGAGGCAGCAGUGGGGAAUUUUGGACAAUGGGCGCAAGCCUGAUCCAGCCAUGCCGCGUGCAGGAUGAAGGCCUUCGGGUUGUAAACUGCUUUUGUACGGAACGAAAAGACUCUGGUUAAUACCUGGGGUCCAUGACGGUACCGUAAGAAUAAGCACCGGCUAACUACGUGCCAGCCGCCGCAGUAACAC